rnacentral:rRNA from 1 species
GAUGAACGCUAGCUACAGGCUUAACACAUGCAAGUCGAGGGGAAACGAUAGAGAAAGCUUGCUUUUUCUAGGCGUCGACCGGCGCACGGGUGAGUAACGCGUAUCCAACCUGCCCAUCACUUGGGGAUAACCUUGCGAAAGUAAGACUAAUACCCAAUGACGUCUCUAGAAGACAUCUGAAAGAGAUUAAAGAUUUAUCGGUGAUGGAUGGGGAUGCGUCUGAUUAGCUUGUUGGCGGGGUAACGGCCCACCAAGGCGAUGAUCAGUAGGGGUUCUGAGAGGAAGGUCCCCCACAUUGGAACUGAGACACGGUCCAAACUCCUACGGGAGGCAGCAGUGAGGAAUAUUGGUCAAUGGACGAGAGUCUGAACCAGCCAAGUAGCGUGAAGGAUGACUGCCCUAUGGGUUGUAAACUUCUUUUAUACGGGAAUAAAGUGAGGCAUGUGUGCCUUUUUGUAUGUACCGUAUGAAUAAGGAUCGGCUAACUCCGUGCCAGCAGCCG